AGGAGGAGAAUAGGACCGGUGACUUCUGCAAGAGUUACAGUAAUUUUGCAUCUCUUGGCAUCUUAGGACCACAAGCGAUGAUGGCUACAGGGUCCAUUUCCAGAAGAUGCAGAGAGAGAAAAUGCGCAGCAAAGAGCGGCAGAGGAGGCGAGCAGAAUGCCAUAAGGAGGUGUGAAGCAAUGAGCAAUGCAGCCUAUCACCGCUGGAGCUGACGUGGGCCAGGUGGGGCGCAAGUGUCAGCAUGGCAACAUGUAAACGGCAGAGUGGGCGAGGACGAGCAGCAGAGGCGCCACAGGGAACCUCGGAGGGGCGAAGCCACGUGCCGAUGAGCAGUCCGAGAAGGUGCUGUGUGGCCACAUUUGGGACUGGAUGCCCAUUUGAGGUGCCACGAGGGAUGACAGCUGAAGGGUC